rnacentral:rRNA from 1 species
CCUACGGGCGGCAGCAGUGAGGAAUAUUGGUCAAUGGACGAGAGUCUGAACCAGCCAAGUAGCGUGAAGGAUGACUGCCCUAUGGGUUGUAAACUUCUUUUAUAUGGGAAUAAAAUGUUCCACGUGUGGGAUUUUGUAUGUACCAUAUGAAUAAGGAUCGGCUAACUCCGUGCCAGCAGCCGCGGUAAUACGGAGGAUCCGAGCGUUAUCCGGAUUUAUUGGGUUUAAAGGGAGCGUAGGUGGAUUGUUAAGUCAGUUGUGAAAGUUUGCGGCUCAACCGUAAAAUUGCAGUUGAAACUGGCAGUCUUGAGUACAGUAGCGGUGGGCGGAAUUCGUGGUGUAGCGGUGAAAUGCUUAGAUAUCACGAAGAACUCCGAUUGCGAAGGCAGUUCACUGGACUGCAACUGACACUGAGGCUCGAAAGUGUGGGUAUCAAACAGGAUUAGAUACCCUAGUAGUC